ACCGUAAGGUGUGAGGAAGGUGGGGAUGACGUCAAAUCAGCACGGCCCUUACGUCCGGGGCGACACACGUGUUACAAUGGGGGGUACAGAGGGUUGCUACACAGCGAUGUGAUGCUAAUCUCUAUAAAGUCUCUCUCAGUUCGGAUCGGAGUCUGCAACUCGACUCCGUGAAGCUGGAUUCGCUAGUAAUCGCGCAUCAGCCAUGGCGCGGUGAAUACGUUCCCGGGCCUU
rnacentral:rRNA from 1 species